GCGUGGACUACCAGGGUAUCUAAUCCUGUUUGCUACCCACGCUUUCGCACCUCAGUGUCAGUAUCGGUCCAGGUAGUCGCCUUCGCCACUGGUGUUCCUUCCGAUCUCUACGCAUUUCACCGCUACACCGGAAAUUCCACUACCCUCUACCGUACUCUAGCUCAGCAGUAUCAGGUGCAGUUCCCAGAUUGAGCCCGGGGCUUUCACAUCUGACUGACUGAACCACCUACGCGCGCUUUACGCCCAGUAAUUCCGAUUAACGCUCGGACCCUCCGUAUUACCGCGGCUGCUGGCACGGAGUUAGCCGGUCCUUCUUCUGCUGUUAACGUCACAGUAAGCGGGUAUUAACCACUCGCCUUUCCUCACAGCUGAAAGUGCUUUACAACCCGAAGGCCUUCUUCACACACGCGGCAUGGCUGGAUCAGGGUUGCCCCCAUUGUCCAAUAUUCCCCACUGCUGCCUCCCGUAGGAGUCUGGGCCGUGUCUCAGUCCCAGUGUGGCUGGUCAUCCUCUCAGACCAGCUACGGAUCAUCGCCUUGGUGAGCCUUUACCUCACCAACAAGCUAAUCCGACGCGGGCUCAUCUGAUAGCGUGAGGUCCGAAGAUCCCCCACUUUCCCCCGAAGGGCGUAUGCGGUAUUAGCAGUCGUUUCCGACUGUUGUCCCCCACUACCAGGUAGAUUCCCACGCGUUACUCACCCGUCCGCCGCUCGUCACCCAAGAAGCAAGCUUCUCUGUGCUACCGCUCGACUUGCAUGUGUUAGGCCUGCCGCCAGCGUUCAAUCUGAGCCAGGAUCAAACUCU
rnacentral:rRNA from 1 species